rnacentral:tRNA from 1 species
CUCUAAGUAAGCUAUAUAAGCUGUUGGGCUCAUAACCCAAAAAAGGAUUCACCCUUGGAGA